UUACAAGUUCACGGGCCACGUUUAGAUAAGUAGCAGAUUGCUCUACAAGCAGUUUAGCAGCCGAUUUUUGCGCUGCCUUGGCUCUGUGUAGAAACUGCUUCAACUCAAUUAAUUCAUUAAUUAAAUCCGGCCCGUUAGAUUUAAUACUUGUAUUGAAUACGUUAGGGUAUAAGCUAUCUAAAUUGCCCUCACAAGUUCACGGGCCACGUUUAGAUAGACAGAUAGACAGCCGAUUUUACGUAAGUACACUCACUCCGGUAGGUAUCGCUGCUGGAGUUUUUUUUUAAUUUUGCUGUUAUUUGCUAAACUAAGAAUUGCGACUUAACGAUAACAAACUCAAAUUGUUGGAAAAAUACUAUUUUAUAACUUUUGUCAACGCUCACGUUGACAAAUGUGUUCAAUUGGGCUAAAUCGUAAAAAGAAAUGAAAAUAUAUGUAGUCGAAUCGGAUGCUACCUUUCCUCUAGGUCAAAAUCGGCUGCUAAAAUCGGCUGCUAAAAUCGGCUGCUAAAUGGGCUGCUAACUUCAGCCCGGUCCGAUACGCCAGUCGCUACAACUCCCCCCCCCCUUAUAGCCAGUUUUAGGAGUUUGUUUUCAACAUUUCACUCCCUUAGGGAAAGACAUAAUCCUUUUGAGAUUAUCCUUUGUUCAAAUGUCAACACAAUAAAAGAGAAUUCCCAUAGAUACAACAAAGUUUGCAUUGCAAUCGGCGUUAAUAUUGUCAAGAAAAAAGGAGGAAGGGAAAAGGUAUUUGAAUCGUCUUCUGUUUCCCGAUGGUGCCCAGAUGGUGCCCGACAUCUCCACAACGUCUUGCUGAUGCUGAAACUCGAGUAUUGACAUAUGUAAAAUCAAGAAUAGAGAGAUUCUACGUACCAAUCCCUAACGGCGGAAGGAUAUGGACACUCAAAGUGAAUCCAAGAAAACCAGAAACCCUCCCCAUUGUGAUGGUUCAUGGGUUCGGCGGCGCAGCAGCGUUCUUUUUCUUGAACUUCGAUGCCCUCGCUGAGCACCGAACAGUCUACGCGUUCGACCUACUUGGAUUUGGGCGAAGUUCUCGGCCCAAGUUUAGCACAAAUCCAGACGUUGUGGAAGAGGAAUUCGUGGAUUCCAUCGAAGAGUGGAGGAAAGGUGUAGGGCUGGAGAAGUUCAUUCUGUGGGGUGGAAGCUUCGGCGGUUUUCUGGCGGCCUCCUACGCUAUUAAACAUCCUGGCAGAGUCAAACAUUUGAUACUGGCCGGACCCUGGGGAUUUCCAGAGAUGACAGAACAAGCGAUGAAUGAAGUACACGCUCAGACGCCGUUCUGGAUGAGGAUUUUCCUUCCUUUACUGUCGCACUUUAACCUCUUGAUGCCCUUCAGACUUGCAGGGCCAUUUGGUCCACAGUUUUUGAGGAUUUCACGGCCGGAUAUGAGAACCAAGUUUGAAGACGCGUUUCAGGACAACACUGUGAUUGACUACCUCUAUCACUGCAUUGCACAACCUCCAAGCGCAGAGACGGCAUUUCGGACCCUACAAAGUGAAGGCUGGGAGUGGGCUAAGAACCCCAUGCUUCCUCGCAUGACCAGCUUGGACCCGAAUGUACCAAUCACAUUCAUCUAUGGUGCAGACUCAUGGGUGGACAGCAGGACGGGAGAGAAGACAGCAGUUCUACGGAAAGAUUCAUAUGUUGACAUGAUUUUCAUUCAGAAUGCUGGCCACCACAUGUACGCGGAACAAUAUAUCACGACUUCAACAGAGAGCUAGUGAGGGUGUGUGGAAAUGCGGACAGAACACAGUGAUUGACUGAAAGAAAGUCGUGACGCACAGCACAACGAAAGCUAAAGAAACAUUUGGGAGUGAUCAAACAUAACUUGUGGGCAUGCCCAGUCAGGGUAACAUCACUUGCAUACAGGUCGUUGAAUGCGACAGCUGAAUCGGAGAGAAAACUACCCAACACACCAUCUACCACACCAUCUGAGCAGUCAAACCUGGUCUCAACGGCCGCUCAAAGCGCUGAAGAGACUUGGAUUAUGACUAAGAGUGGAUGCUCCGGACAAAUUGGGAUUGGAAACAACGAGAGCGAGCAGAUGAAACCAUUUGAGUUCGGUGGACCAGGGAUUGAGCCGGGAAACUUGGCUGGAGCAAUUGACGUUGUCGUGUCGCCAAGCAACGAGAUAUUUGUCACUGACCUUGAAAACAGGCGAGUUCAGGUGUUCAACAUGAAGGGUGCUUACCUCCGCCAUUUUGCCACCGUUGUAUCGGAGGACGAAUUCGAUACCAUGCUACCAAGCAAUAUCGCCAUCGACGCAGACUGUCACCUUUGGGUGUCUGGUAACAAUGUCAAUGAUACGACAGGGUAUGUUGUUCAGUACACUAAAACAGGACGUCUCAUAAGGACACUUCACCCAUCAUUCCCAAACAAUACGUUCGAUGGCAUCGCAGUGGACCUCCACCGGAACCGUGUCAUAGUGGCCGAGAACUGGAGAGACCACACCGAGGUGAAAGUUCUGCUCUUCGAUGGAACGGUUGUCCGAAAGUUCGGCAAGCUGCAGUACAAUCGGUACUGGCGAACGAGCGUUGCCAUAGACACGAGUGGUAACAUUUUAGUGACUGACUGGAAAUAUGGCGAUGUGAAUGUCUAUAACGAAGCUGGACAGUACCUCUUCAGCUUUGGUGGCAACGGAAUGUUUGCAGACCCCGUUGGAGGAAUGUGCGUGGAUAGUUCAGGACAAGUCAUCGUGUCCUAUGGACAUGGCGGGUGGGUGGAGCUCUAUACAGAGGGUGGAGUGCACCUUCGUUCCAUCCAUCUCGUUGUUGGCAAUAUGACCAGUGCAGACGGCGUUGCCGUAGGACCAGAUGGACAGCUCGUAGUCACCAACGCACCUGAUGAUGUUGUGGUCGUGUUGCCACACUAUUGAUGCUGUAAAUAUUACACCGUGACGAUUGUAGCUUUUGAUCUAAAAGUAACAAUACUGGUCCAGCUGCGUUUCUCUCAAGCUUCUGUUUAGUUUUGAAGUAAUAGAAAAUAUAGCUGAUAGUGGAGACAAUGUAUACUAACAUCUAAAUAGUACCUGCGUUUAAGUCUUGUGAAAAGAAUUAUUGUGCACUGGCGUAGUUUUGGCUCUCACAUUAUUUUCUAUCAUGACUUACAAAUUAUUUUGUUAAAUCUGUUGUUUAAAGACAAGGUUUGACUAUGGUACUCAAACUGCAUUAUGUAUUUCAACAAGCCAUGACCUACUUUGCGUAGAUUAUAAGAUUCUCACAAUAACCCAAGUAAUUAAAACGUUCACCGAAACAAACUUUUGAAAAUGUAUAACACUUCAUAGUCGUUUUAGUUUCAUGAUACAUGUUUUGCCAGUGGCUGGUAACUAAAACACACUGUACAACUGCAACGUAUUUGUAGAAUUUGCCGGUAGUUGAUUUUUACAGAAAUUUACUACCGUAUCUGCAUUUAGUGCUAGAACUUUUAAAAAACGCGACUAUCAGUGUUAUUAAAUGAAAUACUCCAUCUACUAAUGUCCUGUCAGAGAUUCUAACAAUACCCACACAUGUUGACCUAAUGACAGACUUUAUUUAUAGCUGGCGGUUUUCUAUGGCCUUUGUGGCUCAUUUGUAUGUUUUCUGAUCGCUCUCUUCUAGUUUUACUAAUAUGGUCCCUCACAAGGCCUGCGUCGGAUAGCCCAACCUCUACUUUACAUGUACAAAUGGUACAUUAUAUUGGCCAUACAAUAUAGUAACUGUACUUUUUGUCGUAUCAAUAAAGCUUGUUGUUAUCAUUCCAAAAUUCCAGCCGUAUCAUUUUCAAAAUGAUAAAAGUGUACACAUGUAGCCUAUUCAACUUAGAUAUAUUAAAAAAAAUUUUUUACCAUUUCAAAGCCUGUGCCUUAGUAACAUAAAGACAGGUUGAUAUGCUAUAAC